rnacentral:sRNA from 12 species
UGCCUAAACUUUGCAAAAGCGAAGCAUGGCACAAUAAGAAAUUCCCGACCAAGAUAGCAACCUCCUCAUCAGGAGACGCUCUUGGUCGGGUCGUAGUCAUCGAAAGAUGCUAUGGGCAGUUCGAAAGGGCUGUC